UCCUGUAGAACCACCACACUGGGAAUGUCCGUUCCCAUCUGCCUAAUCUCAGAAUCUAAGCAGGGUUGGGCCUGGUUAGUACUUGGAUGCAAGACUGUUGAGAAUACAAGUUGCCACAAUGA
rnacentral:rRNA from 1 species